CAGCAGCCGCGGAAUACAGAGGGUGCAAGCGUUAAUCGGAAUUACUGGGCGUAAAGCGCGCGUAGGUGGUUUGUUAAGUUGGAUGUGAAAGCCCCGGGCUCAGCCUGGGAACUGCAUCCAAAACUGGCAAGCUAGAGUACGGUAGAGGGUGGUGGAAUUUCCUGUGUAGCGGUGAAAUGCGUAGAUAUAGGAAGGAACACCAGUGGCGAAGGCGACCACCUGGACUGAUACUGACACUGAGGUGCGAAAGCGUGGGGAGCAAACAGGAUUAGAUACCCGCGUAGUCCCUGUCUCUUAUACA
rnacentral:rRNA from 1 species